rnacentral:rRNA from 1 species
AGCGAACGCUGGCGGCGUGCCUAACACAUGCAAGUCGAACGUGAAAGGGAGCACUCCCAAGUAAAGUGGCGUACGGGUGAGUAACACGUAGGUAAUCUACCCCAGAAUCCGGAAUAACCGGCCGAAAGGCUGGCUAAUACUGGAUAGAGCGACGGAAUCCGUAAUUGGGUUUUUCGGGAAAGGGAGCCUGUAAAAAGGCCUUCGUUCUGGGAUGAGCCUGCGUCCCAUCAGCUAGUUGGUGAGGUAAAAGCUUACCAAGGCAAUGACGGGUAGCUGGUCUGAGAGGACGAUCAGCCAAAAUGGAACAGAAACACGGUCCAGACUCCUACGGGAGGCAGCAGUGGGGAAUCUUGCGAAAUGGACGAAAGUCUGACGCAGCAACGCCGCGUGAGUGAAGAAGGCCUUCGGGUUGUAAAGCUCUGUAGAGUGAGAAGAAAAUGCUUGGAGUUCACAGCUCCAGGAACUGACGGUACCACUAAAGGAAGCACCGGCUAACUCCGUG